GGUUUAAAUAAAACUUUUAAUGAAAAUCUUUAGUAAAAACUUCUUCGUUACAUAAUGCAAUGUGCAAAAUUAUUUUCAACAGUGUUUCAUAUCGUAUCAAGCUUUCAGAAUGUGCAAUGGCUCAUUUGUAUUCGCUAUUGCACACGCGCAGGCACACCCACAAGUAUCAGCCACCGAAGGCUUCAUUUUCAAGACAUCAUUGUGUCAUGCAAAGUACACACAUUUACAGUAGAAGGUUACACAAAAGCAUAUUUCUGCCAUUUCCUAGCAUCAUAGUGUGUGACGAAGAUCGAGAGCAACAUUGAUAAAGAAACAAAACAUUUACAACCCACAGAAGUUGUUGGGGAGUUACCAAGUCACAGUAACGCCUGGUGAAAGCUCAAUUAAAUGAAAGUUAAAUAAUAAAGGUACUGGACAUGUGGGCUCUGUCUUUGCCUGAUAUUUAGUAUUGGACAGAAAUCCUGCGGUCCUAUGAUUCCCAGACAAAAUAGAUGACACAUAACCUUAAAUUAAGAACUCUAACAUGUAUUCUCUCAUUUCUUUCAGAUUCUAGAACACACCUGAAAGUCAGAAGACUGACCACCCUCCAUCACUCCUACUUUCACCUCCAGUACCAGACUUUUCCGGAAGCGGACCGUGCUGCACCCGAUCGAGCUGUACCUGUGUCCUGGUGGCAGCGUGGCAGCAGAGUGGAAACUCCAGACACUCCUUGAUGUCCUUCAUCUCGUCCUCGUAGUCCUGGAUCAUCUUCUCCACCUUCUUGCGGUCCGUCUUCGAAUG